GUGAGUUGCGGCCCAGGGUGGCUCAGGAGAGGGGUGUGUGUGUGUGUGCAUGUGUGGGUGUGCUGGAGUGGCAUGUGCAUGUGUGUGUGAGUGUGUGAGAUUGCAAGAAGCAGCAUGCAUGUAGAAGUGUGGCUGGGCAUAGUGGCUUACGCCUGAAAUCCUAGGACUUUGGGAGGCCAAGGUGGGAGGAUCACUAGAGGCCAGAUGUUCGAGACCAGCCUGGCAACAUAGUGAGAUGAGAUCCCAUCUCUAAAAAAAAACAAAAGUAGUGUGUGAGUGUGUCUGUGAAUGUACACAGGUAAGUGUGCAUGGGUGUGAAAAGUGGGUGAGUGACUGAGGUAUGUGGACCCUCCCCAGAGUUACACCUGGAAGGCUCCCGAAAAGGCCUGGCCGCUCACUCGCAGGAGUCGGUUUAGCUCCCUGAAGGGCAGCUGCCAGCCAGGCCGAGGAUAAGGAGCAGGUUUAGCUGGCUGAUGCUGGACCAAAUUAAAUGUUAAAACAACAUCCAGGCCUGUGGACGUGUGCACUUAAAGCUGUGCCUGCUGCUCUGGAUGAUCUAGCUGAUUCUUGGUGGCCACGUCUGAUGUUUCUGCUGAGAUUUAGACACCCUGUCCCUACCCCUGCCACCUCCCAGGGUGAAACACCCACCCGGGAGUUCAGGGCCCUGCCACCCAAGAACAGAAACCAUGGGGUAAACCCCACCUCAAGGAGACGCCUCACCCUUGGAGGAGACGAUGGCGCCCCGCACCUGUCAUGACUGCCCCAUGGCAGAGGUCCCCUCCCUAAUCCAACCAGACCUCGGUUAAAAACUUCAUAGCUGUAUAUCCUAGGACAAGCAGCUCAUCCUUCCAGAUCGCCAUUGCCUCCCUUCCUGGGCUCCCUAAAUGCUUUCAUCAGAUUGCUGCAAGAGGAUGAAAUGCUUGUAAAGACCUGACCUACAGCCGGGCGCAGUUGCUCACACCAGUAAUCCCAACACUUCGGGAGGCAGAGGUGGGCAGAAGGCUUGAGCCUAGGAAUUCAAAACCAGCCUGGAUAAUAAGGUGAAACCCCAUCUCAAAAAAAAAAUUAGCUGGGUGUGGUGGUGCAUGCCUGUAGUCCCAGCUACUUGGGAGGCUGAGGUGGGAGGAUGGCUUGAGCCUAGGAGGUCCAGGCUGCAGUGAGAGGUGAUCUUGCCACUGCACUCCAGCCUGGUCAAUGAGCAAGACCCUGUCUCAAAAAAAAAGAAAGAAAGACCUGCCCUGGGGCCAGCAUUUAGUAACCCCUCAAUAUAAGUGAGCUAUUAAGGAGGCUUGGAUGUUAUUAUUAGCAACUAGAAUAUGAGACAGCCUGAGAUUAAGCUCCCCACCCAGCCUAGUGGGAUAAGGAUCCAAUCACAAUUCUGUUGAUAGUAAGAACAAUAAACCAAUGCCAUAUUUAUUAUCUGGAUUGUGACCUGAAGUUCUUACCUUAUUACAG
rnacentral:lncRNA from 1 species